GCCAAGCUAGAAACCACCUGAGGUUUUUCCUAUGUUUCCAGAUUUUUCAUAGCAAUCACAUUUCUGAGAGAACACAGCUACGAAGUUGGCAUAGGUUGGCUGCCCUUAUUUAAGGGAUUCCCCCUUCAGAAACAAAAUAAGGAAUCUACAUGACAGACCCCAUCGCUUAACUGCAAAGACUGACCUUUCUCAGAAUGACAACUCUUGUAGUACUGGUGAAGUAUGCUGAGCCCUCAAGGGAUGCUGUUGAGCCUUAAUCAUCUUGUAAACCGACUGCCUAAUCCAGGGCUUUGUACAUCAAGUCUCUCAACAAACACUUGUAGAAGCAGAGUUCCACGCUUCCCUGAACACACCAGGUCAUUGCUCUCUGCUAGAGCCGAGACUAUUGCUGCCAUAGGUCCGUCAGGGGUCCGGGACAUGCCACUCCUCCACAAGGACAAGUUCCAUGACUCCAGCCCUCACCUGAGAUGUGACCUUAGCAUAUGCAUUUUCCAAAGGGCCGCUGUUCUUCAUUCACCCCUUGGAGACAAGAUGGCAUCUCCAGGAUUUGAUUUAGAGGCCACCUGCUUGAGGAAGCCCCUCUACUCUGCAACUCUGCGACUGCUGCCCACCCCUGGUUCCCUCAGCCAUCACAUCUUUACCACACUGGGGGAGAAACAGCUUGGGGACUGGCCUGUCACUGCCACCAGGAGGUGAAGCUGUGAAUCUCUAGUAACAUACCUGCCACUGGC